rnacentral:rRNA from 1 species
CCUUUGCAAUGUGCGCAAGCACGACAAGGUUAAUCCGAGUGUUUCCUGUUAAAGGAAUCUUUUGUUAGUUCUAAAACCACUGAUGAAUAAGGGGUGGGCAAGUUCUGGUGUCAGCCGCCGCGGUAAAACCAGCACCUCAAGUGGUCAGGAUGAUUAUUGGGCCUAAAGCAUCCGUAGCCUGUUCUGUAAGUUUCCGGUUAAAUCCAUUAGCUCAACUAAUGGGCUGCCGAAAAUACUGCAAAAACUGGGAGUGGGAGAGGUAGACGGUACUCGGUAGGAAGGGGUAAAAUCCUUUGAUCUAUUGAUGACCACCUGUGGCGAAGGCGGUCUACCAGAACACGUUCGACGGUGAGGGAUGAAAGCUGGGGGAGCAAACCGGGAUUA